AGUGGAAAUAUGAUUAACGCCCAGCUGUGCACUACAUGAGCUCAGUACUCACUGCGCAGCUUUGCGGCGCAUUUAAGAGAGGUCGGAUCCGGAAGUCUGUCCUUUUUCCUUGGAGGAGACACAACGAUGAGCCGAGACGAGUGCUGCUCCUCAUGACAUUCGAAUAAACAAAUUGCUUCGACAAAUUUAGAAGACUGCAUCAUGUUUAGUCUUCAUAACGACGCUGUUUCGAUGAAGAUGGAAAAUGUUAUCUACGAUUGGUACACCUGAAAAGAUGUCAAGUCACCCUUGUCUACUACAGAUGGCUGGAUAUUGGUUUUCACCAUGUGGACCUUAAGCUGCUUCAGACGUCACCCUGUGGUGAGGGACAUGUGCCCAAUUUAAUCCUGUCUCCUGUGCUGAUCUAGAGAUGGGCAGUUGGUGCAGCAGUGGAACAGUGUCUGCUUUAUCUAAUGUGGUUACAGGACCAUUUGACCUUACGGAGUAGGCUCAUGUGAAAACAUUGCUGAAGCUGAUGGCUCACCAGUUGGAGGACUUCUGGAGAUUUACUUUUUUGAGGGGGGGAUGACAUUAAAAAAUGAUUGAAU